UCAGGAUUUUAUGUUUUCCUUUGUGCUGA
rnacentral:piRNA from 1 species